GAUGAACGCUGGCGGCGUGCCUAAUACAUGCAAGUCGAGCGAACAGACGAGGAGCUUGCUCCUCUGACGUUAGCGGCGGACGGGUGAGUAACACGUGGAUAACCUACCUAUAAGACUGGGAUAACUUCGGGAAACCGGAGCUAAUACCGGAUAAUAUAUUGAACCGCAUGGUUCAAUAGUGAAAGACGGUUUUGCUGUCACUUAUAGAUGGAUCCGCGCCACAUUAGCUAGUUGGUAAGGUAACGGCUUACCAAGGCAACGAUGCGUAGCCGACCUGGGAGGGUGAUCGGCCACACUGGAACUGAGACACGGUCCAGACUCCUACGGGAGGCAGCAGUAGGGAAUCUUCCGCAAUGGGCGAAAGCCUGACGGAGCAACGCCGCGUGAGUGAUGAAGGUCUUCGGAUCGUAAAACUCUGUUAUUAGGGAAGAACAAAUGUGUAAGUAACUAUGCACGUCUUGACGGUACCUAAUCAGAAAGCCACGGCUAACUACGUG
rnacentral:rRNA from 1 species